ACGUGCGGCGGGAUUAAGUGUUAAGUGCGUGUGUGCAACCAUUCGAAAUAAGGCAAGACAAAGUCUUUUUGGAUACAAAAGAAUCACGCUCACUGGUACGCGGUCAUAAAAAAAAGGUGGAUAUAGGAUUGGCGAAAGAAGAUCCUUCUUAGUGGCGAGGAGCAGUUUUGAGAGCAAAAGCAUAUGUUAUGCGUUUAUGAUUAUGUAUCUAAUCUAAUGUGUCUGUAUGAGUGCCCUGAAUUAAUUGAACCUUGGGGUAAUGAAUUUGAAGCUUUGUAUACCAGGUAU
rnacentral:lncRNA from 13 species